rnacentral:rRNA from 1 species
UACAGAGGUCUCAAGCGUUGUUCGGAUUCAUUGGGCGUAAAGGGUGCGUAGGUGGCGGGGCAAGUUUGGUGUGAAAUCCCGGGGCUCAACCUCGGAACUGCCUUUGAUACUGGAGAUCUUGAGUCCGGAAGAGGUAAGUGGAACUGCGAGUGUAGAGGUGAAAUUCGUAGAUAUUCGCAAGAACACCAGUGGCGAAGGCGGCUUACUGGUCCGGAACUGACGCUGAGGUGCGAAAGCGUGGGGAGCAAACAGG